rnacentral:rRNA from 1 species
CGGACGGGUGAGUAACGCGUGAGCAACCUACCUUUUAGAGGGGGAUAACGUCUGGAAACGGACGCUAAUACCGCAUAACAUAUCAAUACCGCAUGGUAAGGAUAUCAAAGGAGAAAUCCGCUAAGAGAUGGGCUCGCGUAUGAUUAGAUAGUUGGCGGGGUAAUGGCCCACCAAGUCGACGAUCAUUAGCCGGACUGAGAGGUUGAACGGCCACAUUGGGACUGAGACACGGCCCAGACUCCUACGGGAGGCAGCAG